UAAACAUUUUGUAUGACCGGCUAUAUUACGACAACCGUCUAACGUGAAAUUUGUCUUUGCCAGAGCAUUUAUAUGCUUUGAUUUUGUGCAGUAAAUUUUCCGAACUAUUUCAUUCCAAAGCUGCAUUUAGGUGCGACAGCUAAAAGGAAAAUUACCACCAUUAACAAUACAAGAUGAUGACAACACAAGAAAACAAGAACGGCGUUGUAAUGGGUUCACCCAAACAACCAAGAGCUGUUGAAAAAACGAAGGAAGACUAUCGUCAGUACUCUAAUGAUAGCGAUUCUAGAGUGGAUUCGGGUUUUGCAAGCAUGUCGGAAAAUGAAAGCCAACAUUCUGUCAGUUCUUGUACAGACAGUUAUUAUGACGAAACGCGAAAUCAACAAUGCGUGUCGAGCCCUAACGAUUCAAUGGAUAUGAAAAAAGUCAUAAAUAAAACUGAGGAUUUGAAGAUAGACGAAGGUUAUGAUUCAAUGACUUCGCAAAUAAAUUACUUUCAAAUGAAUGUGCAUUGUUUACAGAGUUUUGCUCGAACGCAAAACCUGCGUUUUAUGAUGGCGGCUAAUUGGCCAUAUUUACUGGUACGAAAUGGCGAUGGAGACACAUCAUUACAUGUGGCAAUUAUCAAUUGCAAUGCUGAAGUCAUUGAUGCUAUUGUGGAUGUAUUACCAAAAAGGGAAUACUUUGAUCUUUACAACAACUUAAUACAAACGCCACUUCAUUUGGCAGUGAUAACAAGACAGCAUGGAGUUGUUUCAAAACUUAUUGAUCGCGGAGCUAGUGUUGAACUUGUAGAUAGAAAUGGUCAGACAUGUAUACAUCUUGCUUGCUAUCAUGGAGACUUGAAAUCUCUGAAAGCUAUUUUUAAAUCAUGCCCAAAGAAUUUGGAUCACAAGCUGCAGUUGCAAGAGCUACUGGAAUCACGAAAUUUUGAUGGCUUGACUCCUCUUGGUGUUGCAGUAAAAGAGAAUCACAUUGAUAUUGUUAGAGAACUUAUCAAACUUGGAGCAAAUGCAAAUGCUAUGGACAGUAAAAAUGGUAAUACAGUAUUGCAUUUAGCAGCUGAAAACAACAAUCUUCCAAUGUUAUCCUGUUUAUUGUUUGAAGGCCAGGCAGACCCUAAUGCACAAUCAUUUUCUGGCUGCACCCCUUUGCACAUUGCUGCAGGAUUGAAAUUUGAGACAAUUAUAGCAACUCUUGUUGCAGUUGGGGCAAGUACAACAAUAGAAAACGAUGAAGGAGAUACCCCAUAUGAAAUAGCUAAUGAUGAUGACAUAGAUGAGGAUGAUAACUGUAUAGAUGUGGAUGAUUAGAUAUCUGAAGCUUCCAAGCCUAGUAUCAUGUAUAGAAAUGUUCAGAAAAUUUUAAUGCGAUUGAGGGUAAGGUGAGCUCAGAAAGAAAAGAAGGGAUAAAGGAUAAAAAGGGUAAGGUGAGCUCAGAAAGAAAAGAAGGGAUAAAGGAUAAAAAGGGUAAGGUGAGCUCAGAAAGAAAAGAAGGAUAAAGGAUAAAAAGGGUAGUGAGAGGGACAGACAUUUAUUGGGUAAUUUAUUGAAACAUUUUGAAAAUGAAAGAAAAGAAACUGUCGCAAAAAAUUUCAUAUGAAAAAGAAUGUGAUUAGAUUGUGCACCUUAAUAAAAUGCAAUUUAAUUUAAUUUGUCAUGUAAAGAGUUGAUUUUCUUUUGUUGUUUUCAACAUAAGGAUUUCAUUGUUCUUUUACAAACAUCACCACUUAAGUCAUAGCUUUCUAGUUUUAAAAAAGUGUAUGCACAAUCCAUUAGAACGUUCCAUGUGAGCAAAUUGAUAAUGUAAAAUGACAAAAUUGAGUGCGUAUUGUUCAUAUUUUUGAGUUGUUAUGUGGUUCCAUCAUUGUAUCACAUGAAAUUAAAAGUUUUUAUUCAA